rnacentral:rRNA from 1 species
CUUGUUGGUGGGGUAACGGCCUACCAAGGCGACGACGGGUAGCCGGCCCGAGAGGGCGACCGGCCACACUGGGACUGAGACACGGCCCAGACUCCUACGGGAGGCAGCAGUGGGGAAUAUUGCGCAAUGGGCGAAAGCCUGACGCAGCGACGCCGCGUGGGGGAUGAAGGCCUUCGGGUUGUAAACCCCUUUCAGCAGGGACGAAGCGAAAGUGACGGUACCUGCAGAAGAAGCGCCGGCUAACUACGUGCCAGCAGCCGCGGUAACACGUAGGGCGCAAGCGUUGUCCGGAAUUAUUGGGCGUAAAGAGCUCGUAGGCGGUCUGUUGCGUCCGCUGUGAAAACUCGGGGCUUAACCCCGAGCCUGCAGUGGAUACGGGCAGACUAGAGGUAGGUAGGGGAGAAUGGAAUUCCCGGUGUAGCGGUGAAAUGCGCAGAUAUCGGGAGGAACACCGGUGGCGAAGGCGGUUCUCUGGGCCUUACCUGACGCUGAGGAGCGAAAGCGUGGGGAGCGAACAGGAUUAGAUACCCUGGUAGUCCACGCCGUAAACGUUGGGCGCUAGGUGUGGGAUCCUUCCACGGAUUCCGUGCCGCAGCUAACGCAUUAAGCGCCCCGCCUGGGGAGUACGGCCGCAAGGCUAAAACUCAAAGGAAUUGACG